GGCGAGAUGGCCGGGUGGUCUAAGGCACCAGACUGGGGGGGCACACAGGUGUCCAAUCCCUUCCUCUCCCGAGUUAUCUGGUCUUUCGAGGCGUGGGUUGGAAUCCCACUCUCAUCA
rnacentral:tRNA from 1 species